AGCUGGGACUAGGGUAGCUACUUAGCCUCUCCAAACCUGUUUUCUCAUCUCUGAAACAUGGAUGAUAAUAGCAUCUACCUCAUUGGGAUAGUUGAAAGAUUGUUAGCCUAAUGACUGGCACCAAAUUAAAUACAAGAUAAGCAUUGGCUGUGAUUAUUCCCUUACAUUAGCCUGCCUCUCAGAGAGAGAGAUGUAACUAUAUGCAAUAAUCCUGUGUGUAUGGCUGAGCAGUGUCUGUCUAAUCAAAGAAGCAAGGGAGGUCACUAAGCACAGAAGAUACAGCUAGCAAGUUUGUUGAUAUGUGACUAAGGAACCAAGGCAAAGUCCCCCACAACAAAGUUCUCACCUUCUUUGGCAGGACACUGUGGCAUGUCAUGGAUAGCUAGGGGCAGAAUUACAACCGGCUCCCACAGCAACUGCUUGUAAACUGCAGCAAGAGGCUGUUGCCAGUAAGAAUGCAUUGCAAAUAGACCUUAUCCUUCCGUGGUGCUCCCACCAACGUCACUGUUUUAGAGCAGUGGUUCCCAACUUCACCUCCUCAGAUGAUACUCAACAGCAUCAUCUGGGAGCUUUUAUUAUUAUUUAUUUAUUUGUUUUUCAUUACUUAAAGAAUUUUAUUACAUUUAUAGGUGUACAACAAUCAUCACAAUCCAAUUUUAUGGCAUUAUCAUCCCAAACACCCCAGCAUAUCCCCCCACCCCCUAACCUGUCUCUGGGGAGCUUUUAAAAAUGUAGAUUUCUAGACUCCACUCCAGACCAGUUGAACAGGACUCUGGGAGAUUUAGGCAUCUGUAUUCUAGUGGGUGGCAAGGAGUGGGAACCAUUGCCUUAGAGAAGUGAAUCUCAAGCUGGAGUGGGCGUCACAAACCCAUGGAGAGCCUGUUAAAAGCCAGGAUGUUGGACUCCCUGCCCCUCACCCCUACUGCCAGAGUUUCUGAUUCAUUAAAUCUAGGGUGGGAACCAAGUAUCGAUGCCCUUCAACCAAAGACCACCAGGAAGUCACCUAUGGUUAAAUAAGUUGGAUUGAUUAUUCCCCACAGCGAAAGGGAACAGGCCAUGGGGAACUAUAGGUGUGUCUGUCAGAGGAUGUUGGAAAGAUCCUAUAUAAGAUUUGGGCUUCGGUUCAGUGAUUUGAAGGGAGCUUUAAGCAGGUGGGAGUGUGCUCUAAGUUGGAUGCUGUCAGAGAACAGAGGCAAUUCUAUGAGCGGUUAUCUCAACAAGUUUUAUCUUUAAGGAGGAGAGACUCACAGGAGAAUAAACUGUAAUUGGUACAGAAAUGGCAGACGCUUAUUUUGGCCAAGGGAGGGGAUGUUUAAUAACUUGUGGGCUUGCACGAUGACCUUGUUUUUGUCUGUGUUCAGAUAAAUUUAUGAAAUGGCCUUGUUUUGUCUCAUUUUAUCAUGGUCUCAGAGUAACCUUGCAUGUGGUUCUGUGAGAUUGCUUCUGUUCAGUAGGGGAAUAACAUGGCCCACUGGGAGCACCAGGCCAGCUUUCCAAUGUCGUACCCACCUCCCCCUUUUUCCUUUCUCACAAGUUCCAGGUGAUGCUGAUACUACUGGUCCAGAGACCAUCAGACUUUGAGAAUGAUUGUCUGAGAGGAUAAAGAGACCUGAGACCUAUGUUUGGAAAAGGCACAAAAUAAAUAUGCAUGAACAUUAAAGAGCCAGGACCCAGAAUUUCAAGGGAACAACAAAAUAAAAUCAGAAUAAUAUAUCCUGGGAGAUAGUGUAGCUUGGGAAACUGAGUCCAGCAAGACGAGCGCAAUACUCCAACUUUAAGGAAGGAUGAGGCUAGUGUCAUCUGGUUGUGCCCUUCCUCUCAGCUCCCAGUUGCCUUCUUGACCAACUUCCUGCUCAGGGCCUUUGUGCCUACUGUUUUCUUUGCCUGGUAAUGGGCCCAUUUUGACCUCAUUCUUAUUCAUCCUCUAUGUAUCCUUUUUUUAAAAAAAUUAUCAUUGAUUUAUGAUGUUGUGCUAAUUUCUGCUAUACAACAAAGUGACUCAGUCAUACAUAUAUAUAUUCUUUCUUUUUUAAAUGUAUUAUUUCUCUUCUUGGUCUAUCCCCGAAGAGUGGAUAGAUAUAGUUCCAUGUGCUAUACAGUAAGACCUCAUUGCUUAUCCAUUCUAAAUGUAAUAGUUUCCAUCUGCUAAAACAAAACUCCUAGUCCAUCCCAUUCCCUCCCCCUCGGCAACCACAAGUUUGUUCUCUGUGAAUCUGUUUCUGUUGUAUAGAUAACUUCAUUUAUGCCAUAUUUUAGACUCAACAUAUAAGUAAUAUCAUGUUUUGUUUGUCUUUCUCUUUCUGACUUACUUCACUUAGUAUGAGAAUCUUUAGUUCCAUCCAUGUUGUUGCACAUGCCAUUAUUUUGCAUUUUUUAUGACUGAGAGCAUUGCAUUGUGUAUAUGUACUACAUCUUUUUAAUCCAUUCGUCUAUUGAUGGAUAUUUAGGUUGUUUCUAUGUGUUGGUUAUUGUGAAUAGUGCUGCUAUGAACAUAGGGGCACAUGCAUCUUUUUGAAUUACAGUUUUGUCCAGAUCUAUAGCCAGGAGUGGGAUUGAUGAAUCAUAUGGUAGCUCUGUUUUUAAUUUCCUAAGGAACCUCCAUAUUGUUUUCCAUAGUGGCUGCACCAGCUUACAUUCACACCAACAGUGUAGGAAGGUACCUUUUUCUCCACACCUUCUCUAGCAUUUAUUACUGUAGACUUAUUAAUGAUGGCCAUUCUGACCCAUGUGAGGUGGUACCUCAGUAGUUUUGAUUUGCAUUUCUCUAAUAAUUAGUGAUGUUGAACAUUUUUUUAUGUGCCUGCUGGCUUCUUUGGAGAAGUGUCUAUUUAGGUCUUCUGCCCAUUUUUCAAUUGGGUUGUUUGUUUUUUCUUGUUAUGUAACCUUUUAAAAAGUCCCUUCUUCAGAGAGGCCUGGGCAGAGCCCACCACACACAGUAAAUCAUUUUCCCUCUUAAUCACCCUCUCCCCUUUAUUCCAUUUAUCAAUCAUGAUUUAUAAUGCAAUGUUUAUUCUGAUGAUGGUUGAUUUCAUGUCUGUCUCCCCCACUAAACUCUGAGCUCCAUGUGAGUAGAGACGAUGCUUAAUUUGCUCAUCACUGUUUUGUUCCCUUACAGUACUUUUCUGAGAGACCCACUCCCAGCAUGCACUGAAUCACAGAUGAGUCCCUGUUUGCCUUUAUACAGUUCAAUCCAUCCUGCAUAUUUAGGACUUCCCUGGCGGAACAGCAGGUUAAGGAUCUGAUGUUGUCACUGCUGUAGCUCAGAUCAUGGCUGUGGUAUGGGUUCCAUCCUUGGCCCUGGGAACUUCUGCAUACC
rnacentral:lncRNA from 1 species